GAUUGAGGACGGCGACGGCGCGGUGGCGGGCGACGUGAGAAGGCCGCCGCUGCCGCCGGGCUUACGGGCAUUGGCAGCCGCGGGCGGCUGCUGCUGCUGCUGCUGCUGUUGCUGCUGGGGCUUCAGCGACAUGUAUUCAGAAGAAAGCUGAGAAACCUACCUUAACAAUCUGAUGACUUCCAAACCUCCAGAUUCUUGGUCAUCUCACUCAAGACUGCUAGAAGCGUCCUGAUGAAAACAGCACCAUGUGUAUUUUCUGCAAAGCUGGUUAUGAUGGUUAAUCUUAUGUGUCAGCUUGACUGGGCAAUGGGAUGCCCAGAUAUAGCUGGUUAAACAUUAUUUCUGGGAUGUGUCUGGGAGGGGGUUUCCAGAAAAGAUUACCACUUGAGUUGGUAGAUUAAGUAAAGCAGAUUGUCCUCUCCACUGUGUGUGGGCAUCAUCCAGUUCACUGAGGACUGAGAACAAACAUGCAGAAGAAGGGAGAAUCCUCUGGCUGACCAGUUGAGCUGGGUCCUUGGUCUUCUGCCCUCAGACUGGCACUUAACAUCAUCAGUGCUCCUUGUUCUCAGGCAUUCAGACUUGAAAUUGAAUUACACUGCCAGCUUUCCUGGGUCUCCAACUUGCAGAUGGCAGAUUGUGGGACUUUUUAGCCUUUAUAAUUACAUGAGCCAAUUCCUUAUAAUAAAUCUCUCUACAUACGGAUA